GGUUCUCUGGCUCAAUGGUAGAGCGACGCUUUGUUAAGGCGUGGGUUGUGGGUUCAAAUCCCGCGGGAACCG
rnacentral:tRNA from 1 species